rnacentral:rRNA from 1 species
UAUGAACGCUAGCUACAGGCUUAACACAUGCAAGUCGAGGGGCAGCAUUUUAGUUUGCUUGCAAACUGAAGAUGGCGACCGGCGCACGGGUGAGUAACACGUAUCCAACCUGCCGAUAACUCCGGGAUAGCCUUUCGAAAGAAAGAUUAAUACCGGAUAGCAUACGAGUAUCGCAUGAUAUUUUUAUUAAAGAAUUUCGGUUAUCGAUGGGGAUGCGUUCCAUUAGUUUGUUGGCGGGGUAACGGCCCACCAAGACAACGAUGGAUAGGGGUUCUGAGAGGAAGGUCCCCCACAUUGGAACUGAGACACGGUCCAAACUCCUACGGGAGGCAGCAGUGAGGAAUAUUGGUCAAUGGGCGAGAGCCUGAACCAGCCAAGUAGCGUGAAGGAUGAAGGCUCUAUGGGUCGUAAACUUCUUUUAUAUGGGAAUAAAGUAUUCCACGUGUGGAAUUUUGUAUGUACCAUAUGAAUAAGGAUCGGCUAACUCCGUGCCAGCAGCCGCGGUAAUACGGAGGAUCCGAGCGUUAUCCGGAUUUAUUGGGUUUAAAGGGAGCGUAGGUGGAUUGUUAAGUCAGUUGUGAAAGUUUGCGGCUCAACCGUAAAAUUGCAGUUGAAACUGGCAGUCUUGAGUACAGUAGAGGUGGGCGGAAUUCGUGGUGUAGCGGUGAAAUGCUUAGAUAUCACGAAGAACUCCGAUUGCGAAGGCAGCUCACUAGACUGUCACUGACACUGAUGCUCGAAAGUGUGGGUAUCAAACAGGAUUAGAUACCCUGGUAGUCCACACAGUAAACGAUGAAUACUCGCUGUUUGCGAUAUACAGUAAGCGGCCAAGCGAAAGCAUUAAGUAUUCCACCUGGGGAGUACGCCGGCAACGGUGAAACUCAAAGGAAUUGACGGGGGCCCGCACAAGCGGAGGAACAUGUGGUUUAAUUCGAUGAUACGCGAGGAACCUUACCCGGGCUUAAAUUGCAACAGAAUAUAUUGGAAACAGUAUAGCCGUAAGGCUGUUGUGAAGGUGCUGCAUGGUUGUCGUCAGCUCGUGCCGUGAGGUGUCGGCUUAAGUGCCAUAACGAGCGCAACCCUUAUCUUUAGUUACUAACAGGUCAUGCUGAGGACUCUAGAGAGACUGCCGUCGUAAGAUGUGAGGAAGGUGGGGAUGACGUCAAAUCAGCACGGCCCUUACGUCCGGGGCUACACACGUGUUACAAUGGGGGGUACAGAAGGCGGCUACCUGGUGACAGGAUGCUAAUCCCAAAAACCUCUCUCAGUUCGGAUCGAAGUCUGCAACCCGACUUCGUGAAGCUGGAUUCGCUAGUAAUCGCGCAUCAGCCAUGGCGCGGUGAAUACGUUCCCGGGCCUUGUACACACCGCCCGUCAAGCCAUGAAAGCCGGGGGUACCUGAAGUACGUAACCGCAAGGAGCGUCCUAGGGUAAAACUGGU